rnacentral:misc_RNA from 1 species
GAUGAAGAACGUAGCGAAAUGCGAUAAGUAAUGUGAAUUGCAGAAUUCAGUGAAUCAUCGAAUCUUUGAACGCACAUUGCGCCCGCCAGUAUUCUGGCGGGCAUGCCUGUUCGAGCGUCAUUACAACCCUCAGGCCCCCGGGCCUGGCGUUGGGGAUCGGCGGAGCCCCCCGUGGGCACACGCCGUCCCCCAAAUACAGUGGCGGUCCCGCCGCAGCUUCCAUCGCGUAGUAGCUAACACCUCGCGACUGGAGAGCGGCGCGGCCACGCCGUAAAACACCCAACUCUUCUGAAGUUGACCUCGAAUCAGGUAGGAAUACCCGCUGAACUUAAGCAUACCAAUAAGCGGAGGA